UGCCAUUUGAAGUUGUCAUCUAAAUGUGACAGAAAGAAUUUUAGAAGUGGUAGAAGAGCCAAGUGGACUCAGCGUGGUUAUAGCUGGCAGGCGUUAGGAAGUGUUAAGCCUGCAACUCAGUGUUGUCACAUGUGCUUCUUUGAUAAAAAGCAGAAUAACUUCUCUCUUCCCUGACACUGUGCUAAAUUUUGCAGGUGGUUGGAUGGUAUUCUGAAAAAUAAGAAAUAAAGGUUAAGGAGUGCCUGCCUUCAACCAGGCAGAGCAAGGCAGAUCUUAGUGAUAAACAUAUGAUGCUACGUACAACUUCUCAUUCUUCUCCUCAGUCCAGACCAUACCACUCAUGACUCAGAAUCAUGUGUGAUCUCAGGCCCCUCCUAUGUUUGUUAGUAGAAUCAGCACCUGGAUGAUACAAGAUAUAAUGAAAAAAUGACAUCAAUGCCAGCUGUUCUGUGAUGCAAAGUGCUGAGACUGAGCUAUGCAGCUGUGUGUGUCUACAGUGAAGGAUCACCUGGAUGUUUCAGUGAUGAUGGUGUGGAAGCUACAGUGAGUGAGGAAGAGCACAAGAACAUUCCCCGACACAGAGCAAGAUUAAUGUCACUGGCGUGGACAUUGAACAAUGACCCAUUCCAACCCUGUUUCUAUUUAAACACUCGCAACAAUGUUCUAUACUGAAUAAGUAUUGGAUCAAGGAGACUGAAC
rnacentral:lncRNA from 1 species